rnacentral:siRNA from 1 species
GUAUAACGAUGAUGUGAC